AUGAAGGCACUUUGUUUCAAAGGGAUAACCCUGGAGUUGAUUUGACUCAGGAGAAAAUACAGCUCACACAGCUCAUUGGAAUGCUUAUUGUUUUGCCAUUUCCUUGUAGUGGAAAGUCCCAGUCAGUUAUCAAUUAAUAGUAUCAACAACCAUUUUAUCUAGUGCUUAACAGGGGAUGACAUCCAGAGGUAACUUCACAGACAGAGCCUGUUGUGAAACAGGUUGAAUUCUGCCACAUUUUACUACCUUCCUGGUCUCAGACCAAUCACUUAACUCCUGCAAUGCCACAUGUGGAAAAUAUAUUCUGUUAUCAAUGAGUUUACAAGCCUGUGAUACUACGCUCCAGAAGCCAGCAGGAAUGUGAUACUGGUGUAACUGAGCCCCUGGCUUUGCAAGUUUAUACACUUAAGCAUCUCUGAGUGAAAAGCAAUUAUAUAAACACAAAGGAACCAUUAUUAGAGAAAUCAUAUUUAUGUUCCCAUAUUGUAUGUGGUCAGAGGAAAGCAAGACAAGGGCAAGACUUGGGCAAGUGACAAGACGUAUUAGCAGUGGCAGCAACAGUGCUGGGUAAACAGUUGUAAAUCUCAAACGCUGAGCCGUGUUAACAUUUUACAGAAUGCUUUGAUCCUUUUCAGUAAGAUACAAAGCAAGAAUAAAUUCACACAGCCUCCUUGGAGGUCAGUGUGAUUUCUCUGUUUCUGUGGAAAAGCACUAACUAGUCACAUGCUAAUUCACAGUUUGAUGCUCAUCAAACUGGAGCAGAUGGUUAGAGGUAGGGAUGACAUACAAAAAAAAAAAAAAGAAAAAAAGAAAAAAAAAGAAGACUGGUUUCCCCAGAACCUGAAUGGAGAUCCUGCAGCUAAAAGAGGUCACCCAUCUCUCUUUUGGGUGUUCUUUUUAGACAUCCAAAUGCAGACUGGAUGGUGCCUUCCCAGAAGAGCAUGUUGUGGGUCAUCUCUCUGUGGGGAUAACUGGGGAAGGAAGCUUCCUCCCAAAGGACAUGCAGCCAGAGUAUGGUUUUACAGUAGAAUCUAAGAAUAUUAAUAAUUCGUUGAACAUAAAUGACCAAGGAGCUCUAUUUCAGUAAGAAGUUUCCGGGAGAAGUUUCAAACUGUUGUAACUGCCAAGUAUUAAGGGGCAAGAUGCCACUAAUUCCCAGUGGAUUAAAAAUACUGCUAGUUUUUCUCAAGGACAUUUCAAUCUUGGAAAGAGUAUCAGUUUAGAAACACAAAUUAAAUACUAUCUUUGAGAUGAAAUGAAACCUGAAGGAAUUAGACAAUUCACCAAUAAGAAGGACUUUUCUCAAGUAAUCUUUGAACUGUGUGUUCUAGAAAGGACUGUAUGUACUGAGUGGAGGCAGGGGGAUGAGAAGAGGAGCUGAGGAGGAGGAGUCUGAGGAAUGUGGCCUGGGGCUACUCAGAUAAAUUGUUACAAAGGAGGAAUGUGACCUAGGAACCAAUCUCCAUCUCUUGAGGUGUCUGGGCCAAAACAUGUUUUAUGACUUUGAUGAUAGAAAAAAAUCUAUGUAUUUUGACUGCUGAUAUAAUGAAGAUCAAAGCUACACAAUUUGGAUGAAAAGAACCCUACUGUCAUGUUUCAAGUUUUGCAAAAUAAAUGAUGGAAUGAUCUUUAGAUCACAUGGCUGAAUGUGAAGAUUUGAGUACCUCACAAAAAAAGAAUCUUGCAAAUGUAUACAGAGAAAAUUAUGAUAAUGCAAAUAAAGCCCUUUAAUUUAUGUUGCAUGAAAGAAGUUUAAAGUAGGAGUAAGUAAGCAUGAGUCUAUGUUAAUAGAAUAGCCACCAUAAAUAGGAAUAUUUAUCCAUUGUUUACAAAUCCAUAGAAUUAUUAGAUGAAAACUAUACCAUUCUAAAUAUGUAGGACUCUUUAUCAUCCACUUACAAAAGUAAUGGCUUUAGUAUCUAUUGUUUACUUAUGUCUCUACCAUUCCAGAAAUUGAGUAGAGCAGGUAGCGCAGAGGGAGGGAGAAGCAGCUUCAGAGGUCAAGUCUUAAUAGACAGGCCCUGGACCUUGACCUUUGGACACCCUAACUGGGCCUCUUCUACCAAACCAGACCAUGAGUUGCCCCCAAACCAAUUCUUCUGAAGUAACCAAAUGUAUCAAUGAAUGAAUAUUAAAAUGAAACUUGAACAAGCCUCAAGUGCAAAGGGGACUAAGAAUGGAGUCUGGUAGGGAGAGGCACCCCAAAAUGAGAGUGGUGCAGAAAGAAAAUUAAAACAAUUCUGAAAAUGGGUUUCUUUCAUUUCCGAGUUUUGCUUCUGUCAAUCCUUGGGGACCAGGAGAAUAUGGCAGCACAGGUGCUUGAGAACAGGUUGUGCUGCGAUUUAGAAAACCUAUUGACUUUAGAGAAGUUACAUAGCCUCCCUGGGCUUCUGGAACCUCAUCUGUAAAAGGAAGAGGUUGGAUUCAAAGAUGUCUUUUCUGCUCUAAUAUGUUCUGGUUUCACCAAGCAAGUCUUUGCCUGGCAUCUAGAAAAGAUCCUCAGCCCAAACAAAGCAACAUCAUCCAGAAGGAAAAUGCCCUUCAGGUCUGUUUCAGGACUUCAGUGUUCACCACGAUGGUGAGUGACAGCCUUUCUUGGCCACCAGCUGUCUGGAGCGACCCAGAGGAGUGGCAGGCAUUGCCCUCAGCGGGGCAAGUGAGGAGGAGCUGCAGAGGCAGAGGAGAGACAGCAGGGUGGAAAGUGACUCAGGAAUGAGACUGCUCUCCCCAUUCGACUCUCAGUCCAAAAAACCACACUCCUAUUGUGAAAAUUAGACCUUUGAGCAGCGUUCCAUGUGUUUAUUCUACUUGUAUCAAAGAGGCUUUCAUCUCCCUAGAGCAAAUUAUUAACACAUUCCACCAAAGUUGUGAGGGUGGAGGCCUGGCCUUGGAGAAAAAAUAAUCACCAUCAUAAUAAAGAGUUGCCCGAAACGUGAACUUAAGAAAAACUAACAUAAAAGCCCCCACUUUUAAUGAUAGUGGUUGGAAAGGCGCCAAGGUCCUUGUGCCCAGGGGAGCAUGGUUGGCUGACUCCUUGUCCGUGGGCUGACCCUUCUGUGUCCAGGAAUUUUCCAUGAGCAGGCCGUAGUGUGGGAGGUGGGGACUUUUGCAGGUUCAGCAGGUUGAGGCACUCACAGCCAGUUGCCCUUAGCCUUAACUGGAGACCAGAUUUUGUUGGCUGAGUGAGCAGUGGCUCUCGAUUCCAGGCAAUAAAUCUUUGCUUCUCAAGAUCAUUUGGUUGGGAAGAGGAGGGAGAAAAAUAGAGAGGAGAGAAAGAGGGAGAGAGAGGAGAGAGAGCGAGAGAGAGAGAGAGAAAGAGAGAGCAAGAACAAGAGCCAACUCUCAGAUACAGCCAAGAGGAGCAACAGAUAUAAAGUAAGCCCAACAAUAUUUCAGUUUCAUGAAUGGAUUAUUCCCUAAAGGGCUGUGAGGAAUAGUUUCUAGAUAGAGAUUAUGCCAUUUUCUAAAGCAAGUUCACUUGAUUUACAGGAAUCCUUCGAUGCUUAGGCACCUCCUUUGAGAUACAGUUAGACUAUAUGAGUAAAGGGCCCAGUCCAAAAGAGAUAAUAGAGAAUACAGGGAAUUAUUUACUGCUGCUGAAAACAGGACCCCGGGUUCAGACUUUGCUUUUGUUUGCUUUUUAAAAAAUGUUUCCAAGUAACUCCAAAAUACAUGAUACCUCAAGUCUCACGUGAUUGUAACAACCAAGAUUCAUGAAUAGCCAUGAAUGUGUUGUUUGUCAUUAACAUCAGUUUUCUCCCUUUGGGGCUAAAGAAGGAGCAGAAAGAACAGAGAAAUCAGAAUGCGAGUGGGACUUGUACUUCAUAAAACAGCCAGAGGAUCCUCCUAUAAAACUGCAUGGGAUUUUUGGCUUUGUCAUCUGGGAAAUUGAGAAUUUGCCUGUGAUGUGAGGAGUGACUGCUGACAUCAGUGGAGAUGGAUGAAUACGUUUUGUAUUACACCAAUAAUUAGAAGGGAUCUCAAAAAUCCCACCAUUUCACCAGUUUCAUACAUAAAUUUUUAAACUUUGGCUAGCAGUGAUGAGUACCAUUUGCUUAGCACUUGACUGCUUCAGAAUGCCUUUCACAACGAUAUCUGUGCUAUUUCUUUUAUAUUUUCAACUUUUAAAAACAUUUUAAUUGAGAUAUAAUUCACAUACCAUAAAAGUCACCAAUUUAAAGUGUACAGUUCCAUGGUUUUUAGUAUAUUUGUGGUGUAACCACAACUACAAUCUAAUUCCAGAACAUUUACAUCACCCCCAAAAGAAAAGCCCUUUCCAUUAACAGUCAUUCCCGAUGCCUGUCCAACCCUCAGCCCUUUCUAGGCAACCGCUAAUCUACUUUCUGUUUCUAUAUAUUUGCCUAUUGUGGACUUUUUAUAUAGAUGGAAUCAUACAGCUGUGGUCUUUUGGGUCUGUCUUUUGCUUAGGAUAAUGUUUUCAAAUUUCAUCCAUAUAGUAGCAUGCAUCAGUCCUUUAUCAUAUUACCCAAUAAUAGUGUGGAUAUAACACAUUUUAUCUAUCCUUUCAUCAGUUGAUAGACAUUUGAGUUGUUUCCACUUUUUUCUUUAAUUUUUAGUUGACACGUAAUAAUUGUACAUAUUUAUGGGAUGCAGAGUAGUAUUUCCAUAUGUGUAUACCAUGUAUAAUAAUUC
rnacentral:lncRNA from 10 species